UUGCUCUCCCAGGCCGCCCACAUCCGGCUUUUCCUUCGCCCAGGUCAGCCAUUUUUGCUGAGGGCAGCGGUGGUGUGUGAGACAGGUCUCAGGUAAAAGAUGCAGUGGUUCUGAGGUUGCUCUUGAACUCACUGUGUAGCCCCAGGCUGGCCUCCAGUUUGUGAUUAUCUUCCUGUUUCAAACUCCAGUGCUGGGAUUAUAGAUGUGCACCACCAUGCCGGCAUUUCUCCCUUUUGGCUGUGCUAAGAAGAAAGACCAAGUGUUUUCAUCAGUGGAUACCAAAUUUAGUGAAGAUCCAUGAUGAUUUCUCAAGAACCUGAACCUCUGUGACUUCGCUACCAGACAAGUGGUCUUUGUCUCAUCCAAUAUCCAAGCUCUCAGUAUCUUGAACAAAGAAUUGAGCAAGACAUACAGUAGUGAGAAAGGUUGGGAUUUAUUAAAGGAAAGCACACUCCAAAGAGUGGGAACAGGCUGAUGAACCCACACAGUGGCCAUAAUGUUCAAUUCCGCAAAGCCUCAACAAAACCUGCUCUGAGCUACAGUGAACAUCAGGCAAGCUGCCAUGAGCCCUUUCUUCAGGGAGCUCAUAAUGCUGAUGGGGCUAUCAUGUACCCAGUGCCACGAGAGAAGGCAGUACCUUCAGCCCAGAAAAAGACCAUGAGAACAUUUCCUGUUGGGUUACCCAGAAUGAUGAGACAGAACUGCUGACUGAAGGCACAGCAUGACGGAAGAAGUGCAACCAGCGUUUGGGUGGCACAGGGAUGCAGGUGGGGGGGGUGAUGAACCUGGGAAGGAACACUGGGCCAAUCUCAACAGGCUGUGAAGGCCUGGAGUGUGAGUUUGGGCUGGAAGACAGAGAGUUUUCCAUGUUGGUCAAGGCCCUUUGGGUUGCAAGGGAGGGAACCGACUUUGCACUAACCCCAACAGAAAGGGCAAUUUAUGGGUGAACAGAGAAUCCAAGGAAGGCCUGAAUGACCUAGCAGGUAAGGAAGCCCAGGACACUCUUGGCUUUUAGGAACAGCUAAUCAGGGCUUCAGACCCCAUCUCAAUCCUAUUUUUCUUGGUUGGCUCCAUUUUUCUUUUUUGGGGCAGACUAACUUUCUCUACAUGGAGGAAUUUUGGGGAAGGGACUUAUUGGCCCAAGCUUAGGGCAGCUUCCCACCCCUUGAUCCAUCAGAAGUUGGAGUUGCAUGUUCACAGAACUGUCCUGUUGUCAGCAGAAGGCAGGGAGGGCAGGACCAGAAAGAAGGUACAACGCUGAGCAGGCAACCCUAGAACAAUCUC